AUCGGGUCAAACCCAACUGAAUCCAAUUCAAUAGGACUUGAUCCAAAAAUAAUUACUCCAUCAAAUUGAGUUAAUUAGUGAUCAAAUUACUAAUUAAAUCUCUCAUAAAUAUUGAGUCCAAAUUCGAUGGGUAAUCGGGCAUCAGAAUUCAUCGAUAUGUAACCCUGAUCGAAGAGUCCCAAACCAGUGGGACUCUUGACCCCGGUACCCAAAAUGUAUGGAAUUCAUGAUCAGAGAAUCUUGAUUCUCGAUCACAAAAUCCCAGACAUGUUGGACUCUUCA
rnacentral:lncRNA from 1 species